GACUCAUGUCUGGUGCUCUGGCCGUAUGUCUGCUCUCCUUUUCGGCAUUCCCUCAUUAGGAGCUCCGUAGUUUCCUCCAAGUCCAGCUCUCUCUCUCAAAAACGUCUCUUCCGCGUAUUUUUACAGCCCCCUCUCUCCCGAGUUUCCCCUUCUUUCACCCUCUUCCAUACACUGAAAUUCUCACGUGUUAACAAGACUAUCUGACACUUCAGACUGUGUUGGGGUCCGGUCGGACCAAACCUGCCGGCGAAGACUUUACGCGCACAGCGACACCCAAUGGUGCACUCCGCGACCGCGAGUCCCAUUGGCCUUAUCAAGGAGGGCAUGCUGUGCAGUGAUUUGGGGGGAAAUGAAAAGGUUGGAAAGCUAUGACCAAUAAUUCGUGAGCACCAUAUAAAAAAAACACACAGUAGCCUAUAGGUCAUACUGAUUAGCUGUUUAUGCUGGAAUUCGGGCUCACGACGACCACUGUCAGAAUAAAAAGGUUGGUCAACUUUUUGAAAAACUGAUUUCAGUGGACAUGGCCACACAUAUCUCCAGAUGCUUGCAGUGACCACCCCACCAUACCAGACACACCCCCCUCCAGCUCCAGAUUCCCUUCACCACCAAAAAUUGAACGGCCCCGUGGCUUAGAGGUUAAGAUGCCGACGAUGAACCUCAUGCCCCCAGUUCGAGUCCGACCUUUGGUCCCUUUCAUUUCAGGUAAUUUCUCCACUGUCUGUAAUAUAAAUCCCAAAAAAUACUUUC